rnacentral:pre_miRNA from 1 species
UCGCGCCUGUAUCUUGCUGAACCGUUACCGAUAUGGCACAGAAUCCGGUUGAGCAAAAUUUCAGGUGUGUGA